AUCGAGGACCAGAUUUUUGUUUGCUUUCCCGAAUGAGCACCGAGAGGCAGUAAUAAUCACAGUAAUCUUAAAAAUGUUUCCCCAACUUCACACUCCGUCUUCAGCCCCGGACCUCGGAGCCCUCCUGAUCAAGCAGUCCAUAGACUCUUUUACAUCCAUCUGCAUUCUCACAAGGACUCUCAGUUGGAUAUCUAAUCUAAAGAGAAAAUACUUGGCAAGAAUGCAUGGCAAAUGCAUCAAAUAAGUUGGCCAUGGCUUUCUCCUGAUUCCUGAGGAGUAGGUGUGAGAACUGUGCUGAUGUUGAGCACAACACAUCACAUCAGCAGUGCCACAGGCUUCAAGCCUUAUUAAAAGGAGAAACUAUGCAUCUGAAAAGAAAAACAUGAAGAGGAGACCCCAAUGCCAUUACUUUGGAGUGCUGAGAGGUGGAGAAUGAAAAAGCCAUUGGUCUCAGUUUUACUACCACAAUGGCCUUUUAUGAGAGGGAUUAGAUACGCCUAGAGCUGGUGCAGCAUUCAGUGCUGCCCUGGACAACAAUCUGGAAAGAAAGACGAUAAAAAUCAGUUUGUCGUAAGGUUAAAUCACCACAGACUUGCUAGAUUGGCUUUUCAGAUUGUUUUUCGUUGAGGAAGGGGGGAGAAAAAGAGAGAGAAAUAUGGCUUAAAGGCUAAUUUUUUAUUUUUUUUCUUCUCUCUUUUUUUUUUCCUCCUGCAAGAUGUAGCAUUCAGAAAACAUGUUGAGCGAGUUGAGGCAUUAAAAAGAUCAGUCUUUGGUUGCUGAAUGAAAGACUGUUGUGCGUGUGACUCACAUACUAAACAGAAAUCUGCCUUCAAAGCCUAUUUUACUGCCUAAUUAUAUAUACACAAAAUGUAGCUGUCUGUUUCAAUCAAAUCCUGGGAAAAAGAAUAUAACUCCUCUUAAGAUGCAAUUUUCAUGGUUUGUCAUAACCUUAGAACACACACUGCUAAUGCAAAAGGGGGAAGUACAGCUGCAAGGUCCAGAUAAGGCACCAGUAAUUGUUUUUCUUUUAAUUAUUACUUUAUAAAGACAUUACACCUCCUACUCGGAAUGAGGAAAAUUAGUGUCCUCUCCAGGUUUUUCUUUUAAGAUUUUCCUUUUUUUCAGAGAAAGCUUGUUGUUAUGCAUUUCAGAAGCAGUCAGCAGCUAUAGAAAGUACUUUUAAGUAGCCUCCCUAAUAACAAGCUUUCAGGAGGAAUCUAGGAAUUCCAGCUUCUACAAACCUUUGUAUUGAACUGAGCACUCCAUAUGAACAAACCCAAAUAUAGAAUGAAAGAAUGCAUCAUAAAAUAUAAAAUAAUUGUUGGUAAUCAGCUCUCUUGCAAACUUUCAAGCUGGACAACAUGUGUGAGCCAUUUGUUUUAUAAGGCCAAAACCCCCAAACUGAUUUCAGUCCUUGCAGUAUUGCAGUAAUGUGAUUGUGUGCCUGUUUGUGAGUGUACAUGCGUUUGUGUGUGUGUGUGUAUAUAUAUACACACACAUCAUUUUUUAAAUCUGCUAAUAUUCACAGGUCUUUUUUGAAUAACUUAAAUGGUAAAGUUUAAUAGGCCAUUACUAAUUUACAUCCUCUUGCAGAUACAAAUCAUUAAAAUGAAAUGAUGUUUUAAUGGCUUAUUCAAUAUGUAUCUAAUUGCUCCUUAAAAGUUUCUCACUCAGAAGACAUCACUGGAGAUCUCCCCAGGAGACUGGAAGGGUAGAGACAUGCAUUCUGCAGAUGGCUCUGCCGGGGAAGAGAGACUGCCCGUAACCUGCCAAGGAAGAGCACAUCACUCUCCCUCCCCCUGCUCCAAACUGCCCAUGCAACUACUUAUUUGAAUGCUCCCUAGACCAUUUCAGUAAAAAUGAGACAGAUUAGCAAACUCCUGUUAUUCACACUGUUUAAGGUAGUUGAAUCCACUUAGGCUUGAGCAAGUUGUGGAGGGCUUUUCUUAGCUCACCUGGCAGAGCUGAGGUUUAGUAACUUCUGGGAAGAGACAUGGGAGUGCAGUGACAAGCAAGUCGUGUAGACUUAGAGAAUAACCCUAUUUUAUCAACACAGUUGUUUGCAGCCUCAUAGUUGUAUCCUGAACCUGCCUCCAUUGCUGUUAAGCCACUGAGCCUAGCAGAAUAUGCUUGCUCAUUACUAGAGGGAAUAAGGGCAAACUUGGUCACUGACAAUUUAAUUCAAAUAUAUAUUUGCUCUCCCAGCCACUGGCAUUACGUGUGUUCCAAAAAAAGGCACAUCUCUCCCAAACUGGGCAAUGCCUGUCAAUUACAGAAUUAAUUAGAUAAGGGGCCCGCCAUGUUCUGCCGUGUAAUGUAUGUGCAUUCAGCCAGAAGUAGUUUCCUGGCAAACCUUCCUCCCACCUAAUCGAAGCCUAGCGAUUUGAGCCCUGACAUAAGGCAGGGAUGGGGAACUGGGGAAAACUUGGGUAAAUCUGGUUGCUGCGCUGAGCGAAGAGGUUUGCUGGGCCACUGAGCACCCCUGCAAAGGGGUACCCGCCUCGCCUGGACUGUGGCCUGUCUCUCCCGGCCCAGUUACAAUGGAGGCUUGUUGGACAUAAUGACUGUACUUUAGCCAGACAAUAGGUAUGCUAAGGAGAUUAGCUGAAGCCACUUCCCUUACCUGCCUGCAGGGAGGGAAUUUGGAGAACAAACGGGGAACAAAAGACCUCUGGAUCGAGUGAAGUUGCUGCAGAGUAAGGGAGGGUGUGACUUUACAGCACACCAACUGCUGCAGCCUUUCUCAUGGGGGCAUCCUUUGUGCGCUGUGAGGGUGCCGCCCAGCCAGACACUUGAGCUGCUCUAACAGCUUGCUGCUGCCAAAAGGGGCAGGCCCAGGCCCCAGGCCCCGUUUUCCCACUUUGCUCUCCAGCCCUUCGAGCUGUGUGGUCUCAUCUUCUCCAUUGCACAGCCCUGGCACUCCUUUGACCCCUCAGGGAGUCAGUGGAGUUUGUUA